rnacentral:rRNA from 1 species
CCUACGGGUGGCAGCAGUGAGGAAUAUUGGUCAAUGGUCGGGAGACUGAACCAGCGACGCCGCGUGAGGGAGGAAGGUACUGAGUAUCGUAAACCUCUUUUGUCUGGGAACAAAGACGGGGACGCGUCCCCGGAUGAGUGUACCUGACGAACAAUCAUCGGCUAACCCCGUGCCAGCAGCCGCGGUAAUAGGGGGGGUGCGUGCGUUAUCCGGAUUUAAUGGGUUUAAAGUGCGCGCAGGCGGUCUGGUAAGUACGGGGUCAAAGCCCGGGGCUCAAACCGGGGUCGGCGUAUGAGACUGGCAGUCUAGAGUGAGAGAGAGGUAAGCGGAAUGCGCGGUGUAGCAGUGAAAUGCGUAGAUAUCGCGCAGAACACCGGUGGCGAAGGCGGGUUGCCGGCCACUCACUGACGCUGAGGCACGAAGGCGUGGGUAGCGAACAGGAUUAGAUACCCGUGUAGUC